rnacentral:rRNA from 1 species
UACGUAGGGGGCAAGCGUUAUCCGGAUUUACUGGGUGUAAAGGGAGCGUAGACGGCCUUGCAAGUCUGGUGUGAAAGCCCGGGGCUCAACCCCGGGACUGCAUUGGAAACUGCAUGGCUGGAGUGCAGGAGAGGUAAGCGGAAUUCCUAGUGUAGCGGUGAAAUGCGUAGAUAUUAGGAGGGACACCAGUGGCGAAGGCGGCUUACUGGACUGUAACUGACGUUGAGGCUCGAAAGCGUGGGGAGCAAACAGG